rnacentral:rRNA from 1 species
AACAGGCGAGCGAUCGUAACCUGUUCGAGAAGGAUGAUCAGUCACCCCGGGAACUGAAGAACACGUUCGGACUCCUACGGGGAAGGCAGCAGUGGGGAAUAUCGACAUGGGGCAUCCUGAUCCAGCCAUGCCGCGUGUGUGAAGAAGCCUUUUGGUGUAAAGCACUUAAGCAGGGAGAGAGGCUAAUGGCUAAUACUCAUUAGAUUAGACGUUACUGCAGAAUAAGCACCGGCUAACUCUGUGCCAGCAGCCGCGGUAAUACAGAGGGUGCGAGCGUUAAUCGGAAUUACUGGGCGUAAAGCGAGUGUAGGUGGCUCAUUAAGUCACAUGUGAAAUCCCCGGGGCUUAACCUGGGAACUGCAUGUGAUACUGGUGGUGCUAGAAUAUGUGAGAGGGAAGUAGAAUUCCAGGUGUAGCGGUGAAAUGCGUAGAGAUCUGGAGGAAUACCGAUGGCGAAGGCAGCUUCCUGGCAUAAUAUUGACACUGAGAUUCGAAAGCGUGGGUAGCAAACAGGAUUAGAUACCCUGGUAGUCCACGCCGUAAACGAUGUCUACUAGCCGUUGGGGUCCUUGAGACUUUAGUGGCGCAGUUAACGCGAUAAGUAGACCGCCUGGGGAGUACGGCCGCAAGGUUAAAACUCAAAUGAAUUGACGGGGGCCCGCACAAGCGGUGGAGCAUGUGGUUUAAUUCGAUGCAACGCGAAGAACCUUGCCUGGUCUUGACAUAGUGAGAAUCUUUCAGAGAUGAGAGAGUGCCUUCGGGAAUUCACAUACAGGUGCUGCAUGGCUGUCGUCAGCUCGUGUCGUGAGAUGUUGGGUUAAGUCCCGCAACGAGCGCAACCCUUUUCCUUAUUUGCCAGCGGGUUAAGCCGGGAACUUUAAGGAUACUGCCAGUGACAAACUGGAGGAAGGCGGGGACGACGUCAAGUCAUCAUGGCCCUUACGACCAGGGCUACACACGUGCUACAAUGGUAGGUACAGAGGGUUGCUACACAGCGAUGUGAUGCUAAUCUC